GGGGCCUUAGCUCAGCUGGGAGAGCGCCUGCUUUGCACGCAGGAGGUCAGGGGUUCGAGCCCCCUAGGCUCCACCA
rnacentral:tRNA from 1 species